UUUCAGAAAAGGGGGUGCCUUGUGCAAACGCAAUGGCUGAGAUUAUACCCAAUGAACCUGAUACGGAUCAUGCCGGCGGAGGGAUUUUUUUGAGUGUUUAU
rfam:Bacteroides sp. CAG:598 genomic scaffold, scf75